rnacentral:RNase_P_RNA from 1 species
GGCCCGGAUCGUCUUAUCGCCUUGCUUUCGGGUGGGGAGGAAAGUCCGGACAGCAUAGGGCACCCUACUUCCUAACGGGAAGGCGGGCGGCGGGUAACCACCGUUCGACAGCCAGUGUCACAGAAAAUAUACCGCCGGGGUUAAUGAGUGACGGUCCGAUGCAUCGGACCGUCACUCAUUAACCCCGGUAAGGGUGAAAAGGGGGUGUAAGAGACCACCGCCCGGAUGGCGACAUGCGGGGCAGGAUAAACCUUAGGGGCUGAAAGACCAAACAGUGCCGGAUGUGGGGCGGCUCGUCUCCUCGUCGCCUUCGGGUGGCGACCGGUACGGGUAGGUCGAUAGAGGGGGUCGGUGACGGCCCUCCCAGAUAAAUGAUAAGACGGUCCGACGCGCCCACGGGUACGGUCGGGCCGACAGAAUCCGGCUUAUAGAUUCGGGCCUUUG